UCUUUUUGUUUUUAUUUUUCUUUGUUUUUCGGGCAUUGGACUCUUUGGGGGAAUGUAGAGAAAUGACAUCUUGAGACAACUCAUUAACUUUCCUCUUUUUGGAUUCCUUUGCCGGGGCCUUCACCUCCAUUUUACGGGAUGCCUCCGCCUUUUUAGACACUAAUUCUUGUUUACGACGUUCUCUUUCUGUAAGCUCCGAUGUGUCCGUUAUUUUAGUACCGUUUACAUCAACCUCUUCAUUCUUAGAAACAUCUUUUUCAUCCACAUUUUCCUCUCCUAGUUCCUUAUUAAAUAAUCCAAAGCUAGCUCUUCCUUGUACUAAAUUAGGUUCAUUUGAAUGACUUUCAAGAUCGUUUUCUUCAAUCAGACCCCCAUAACCCGAUUCAUAUUCUACAUUACGAGUCAUCUUUUGGGGUAAAAAAUCAACUUUUCCUGCAAGACUCCAAUGCUCAUCUGUAACAAUGUUCUUGCUUAACUCUUCUUCUGCUUGCUUCGGGUCAAUGCCUCGAGCGCGUUGCAUAAACUACAAAAUACAGGUUAGU